AUUAGGGUGGCAGAGCCCGGAAAUUGCGUAAGACUUAAACCCUUGUAAU
rnacentral:tRNA from 1 species